rnacentral:lncRNA from 1 species
GACAAAGACGCGCGCUGAAACGCGCGCUGCCCUGCGGCGGCUGGCAUUGGCUGGCCGGUCGGUGGCUUCCACGAGCAGUAACAGCGCAGGUGUGGUCUCUCGAUCCAGACCACGAGGAGCGCUGAGCGCCCCGGUGCGCGCGUCCAAGCGCAGGGCGGGCACCGGGGGCUCCUGCCUCAGCAGGCGGUAUCGCACCUCACUGUUGGGACCUGGGCCAUCGGCGUCUGAUGCGCGGAAAGUGUAUAGCGUGGCACCGGGGUCGGGGUUCUCAGCCGCGCGCCUGCGCCUCCCGGCCCCUCGGCGCGCACGGUGAGCGCGCGCCAGGCUGGCCCAGCCUCGAAGUCCAAGGGACGCGCCAAGUACAGGCGACCGGAGGCUGAGUCCAGCGCGAAGGUGCCCUCGGGGUCCGCGCCACCAACCAGAGUAUAGCUUUGGAACCGGAUACAGCCAUCACCUUCAAUGUGUAUAACUCCUGGGACUCACGGUCUAGUGCUGUCCGUACCCACAGCCACCCACUCUGUGACUCCAGGCCAAAGGGGCUACUGGCACCAUCUGCUGCAAGAUGACCACCUCCAUCCUGAGCCCCGAUCUCCAGCUGCACCACAGAAUUAGCCCGUCUGCCUAAGGGCCAGGCUACUGUCAACAGCCCUGGAGAAGGAAGAGAAGCAAACAUAGAUGGAGAAAAGAAGAGGGGAGAAGGUCCUGGAAAGAGGAGACAAUAUUUAGACACUCCAGAAGAGGGCGUCAGAUCUCGUUACGGAUGGUUGUGAGCCACCAUGUGGUUGCUGGGAUUUGAACUCCAGACCUUUGGAAGAGCAGUCGGGUGCUCUUACCCACUGAGCCAUCUCACCAGCCCCCAGAUGAUGACUUUUGACAGUGAAAUUGUAUUGAUGAAAGUCGCCAGAGCACAUCCAAAGUCAAAGUUGGUUCUGUGGAUUGCCACUGAUGAUUCCAAAGCUGUUUGUCGCCUCAGUGUUAAGUUUGGUGUCACACUCAAAACUAGCAGGCUUCUCUUGGAACGAUCAAAAGAGCUAAAUAUUGAUGUCAUUGGUGUCAGCUUCCAUGUGGGCAGUGGAUGUACUGACCUGUAGACCUUCGUGCAGGCAGUGUCGGAUGCCGGCUGUGUGUUUGACAUGGGAACAGAUGUUGUUUUCAGCAUGUAUCUGCUUGAUAUUGGUGGUGGCUUUUCUGGAUCUGAAGAUACAAAGCUUAAAUUUGAAGAGAUCAUCAGUGUAAUCAACCUAGCUCUGGACAAGUACUUCCCAUCAGACUCUGGAGUGAGAAUCAUAGCUGAGCCAGGCAGAUACUAUGUCGCGUCAGCUUUCACGCUUGCAGUCAACAUCAUUGCCAAAAAACCAACCAACCAACCAACCAACCAACCAACCAACCAACCAACCAACCAAAAAUGUGUGGAAGGAGCAGCUCGGCUCUGACGAUGAAGAUGAGUCAAAUGAGCAAACCUUCUUGUAUUACGUGAAUGAUGGAGUAUAAGGAUCAUUUAACUGCAUUCUUUAUGAUCAUGCUGCAGAAGAGACCCAAGCCAGAUGAGAAGUAUUACUCAUCCAGCAUCUGGGGGCCAACAUGUGAUGGCCUUGAUCGGAUCAUUGAGUGCUGUAACAUGCCUGAAAUGCAUGUGGGUGAUUGGAUGCUGUUUGAGAACAUGGGUGCAUACACCGUUGCUGCUGCUUCUACUUUCAAUGGGUUCCAGAGGCCAAACAUCUACUAUGUAAUGUCACAGCCAAUGUGGCAACUCCUGAAGCAGACCCAGAACCAUGGCUUCCCGCCGGAGGUGGAGAAGGAUGAUGGCACUCUGUCCAUGUCUUGUGCCCAGGGGAGUGGGAUGGACCAUCACGCUGCAGCCUGUGCUUCUUCUAGGAUAAAUGUGUAGAUGUCAUUCUUGUAGCUCUUACAUGCAAGUUUAGCUUGAAUUAAGGCAUUUGGGGGGAUCAUUUAACUUACUGCUAGUUUGGGAUGUCUUUGUAAAAGUAGGGUUGACACCAAUGCAGUAUGGAAGGCUAGGAGAUUGGGGUCACACUUACUGUGUUCCUAUGGAAACUUUGAGUAUUUGUUUUAUAUGGAUUUUUAUUCACUUUUCAGACAUGAUACUAAAGAGUGCCCUCAGCUGCUGAGCAAGAGUUUGUAGUUUGUACAUUGGCAGAAUAGGCCAGAAGCUUAUGUUGUGAACUAUUGUGAAAAUAAAGUAUCUUC